UUCCGGUUGAUCCUGCCAGAGGUCACUGCUAUCGGGGUUCGAUUAAGCCAUGCGAGUCGAGAGGGUUCGGCCCUCGGCGUACUGCUCAGUAACACGUGGAUAACCUGCCCUAGGGGAGGGGAUAACCCCGGGAAACUGGGGAUAAUACCCUAUAGGUUACAGAUGCUGGAAUGCCCUGUAACCAAAAGCUCCGGCGCCCUAGGAUGGAUCUGCGGCCGAUUAGGUUGUUGUUGGGGUAACGGCCCAACAAGCCCGUAAUCGGUACGGGUUGUGGGAGCAAGAGCCCGGAGUUGGAUUCUGAGACACGAAUCCAGGCCCUACGGGGCGCAGCAGGCGCGAAACCUUUACAAUGCGGGCAACCGUGAUAAGGGAACCUCGAGUGCCUGUAAACGCAGGCUGUUCAGGUGUUUAAAACGCACCUGGAGAAAGGGCCGGGCAAGACCGGUGCCAGCCGCCGCGGUAAUACCGGCGGCUCGAGUGGUGGCCGCUUUUAUUGGGCUUAAAGCGUUCGUAGCUGGGUUGUUAAGUCUCUUGGGAAAUCUGGCGGCUUAACCGUCAGGCGUCUAAGGGAUACUGGCAAUCUUGGAACCGGGAGAGGUGAGGGGUACUUCGGGGGUAGGGGUGAAAUCCUGUAAUCCUCGAGGGACCACCUGUGGCGAAGCGCCUCACCAGAACGGCUUCGACAGUGAGGGACGAAAGCUGGGGGGAGCAAACCGGAUUAGAUACCCGGGUAGUCCCAGCCGUAAACGAUGCGCGU
rnacentral:rRNA from 1 species